GUGAAUGCUAGAAGUCUGCUUAACACAUGCUAGUUGAACGUUAAUUUUAUUUAUAAAAUUUUAAAGUAGCGAAUGGUGAGUACGUAAAAGAAUUAUUUUUUUUUUAGUUUUGUUUAAGAUACAAAAUAUUAAUAAAGAUUGAUUUCGCUAAAAAAAAAGCUUUUUUAAGAUUGGGUAGUUGGGGGUGUGAUAGACCACCAAGCCGUAUCUUUAGCUGGUCUGGGAGGAUGUACAGCCACAUUGGGGAUGUAAAUUACCCAAAUUUCUUCGGAAAUCAGCAGUGAGGAAUAUUGGACAAUGAGCGGAAGCUUGAUCCAGCAAGACUUUGUGAGAGAAGAAGGGUAUCCUGUAAAGUAUAAGGUUAUGUCUAUUUAUUUAAAUUGUUAAUAGACUCAAUUCUGUUUAGUAACGAUAAUAAUGAUAGUAGUUACAGAGGAAGCCCCGGCUAACUUCGU
rnacentral:rRNA from 1 species